rnacentral:rRNA from 1 species
ACGAUAAGAGGUGCCUUAUAAAAAAUAAGGUGGCACAGAAUCGGAGGCCCCGACUGUUUACUAAAAACACAACACAGUGCAAUCAUAAGUAUGGUAGUAUACUGUGUGAAAUUUGCCCGAUGCCAUUAAUAUAAGAAAAGUUAUGGGUUUGUUUAUUAAAACAAUACUGUGACCUAUCGAAAAUCUGGUUAAUAGCGGUCUUAACUAUGAGGAUCCUAAGGUAGCAAAAUCAAUUGGCCAUUAAAUGUGGUCCGGUAUCAAUAAUGUAACGAUGGUCUCACUGUCUCUACAACUUGCUCAGUGAAAUUGAAUUACGCGUGCAGAUGCGCGUUGCCUCCAGGGGGACGGGAAGACCCUAUGCAGCU